rnacentral:rRNA from 1 species
UACGUAGGGGGCAAGCGUUGUCCGGAUUUAUUGGGCGUAAAGAGCGUGUAGGCGGCCUGACAGGUCUGCUGUGAAAACUCGAGGCUCAAACCUCGAGAUGUCGGCGGAAACCGUCUGGCUAGAGUCCGGAAGAGGAGAGUGGAAUUCCUGGUGUAGCGGUGAAAUGCGCAGAUAUCAGGAGGAACACCGAUGGCGAAGGCAGCUCGCUGGGACGGUACUGACGCUGAGACGCGAAAGCUGGGGAGAAACAGG